rnacentral:rRNA from 1 species
UACGGAGGGUGCAAGCGUUAAUCGGAAUUACUGGGCGUAAAGGGUGCGUAGGUGGUUUAUUAAGUUAGGUGUAAAAUUCCUGGGCUUAACCUGGGCUUGAGACUUAAAACUGAUAGACUGGAGUAUAGGAGAGGGUAGUGGAAUUUCCGGUGUAGCGGUGAAAUGCGUAGAGAUCGGAAGGAAGACCAGUGGCGAAGGCGGGUCUCUGGACAGUUCCUGACGCUGAGGCACGAAGGUCAGGGGAGCAAACGGG